GAGCUAAUACCGGAUAAUCCUUUUCCUCUCAUGAGGAAAAGCUGAAAGACGGUUUCGGCUGUCACUUAUAGAUGGGCCCGCGGCGCAUUAGCUAGUUGGUGAGGUAAUGGCUCACCAAGGCGACGAUGCGUAGCCGACCUGAGAGGGUGAUCGGCCACACUGGGACUGAGACACGGCCCAGACUCCUACGGGAGGCAGCAGUAGGGAAUC
rnacentral:rRNA from 1 species